rnacentral:rRNA from 1 species
CCUACGGGAGGCAGCAGUGAGGAAUAUUGGUCAAUGGCCGGAAGGCUGAACCAGCCAAGCCGCGUGAAGGACGAAGGUGCCAAGCAUUGUAAACUUCUUUUGUCAAGGGACAAAAUCAGGCUCGAGAGCCUGACCGAGGGUACUUGAAGAAAAAGCAUCGGCUAACUCCGUGCCAGCAGCCGCGGUAAUACGGCGGAUGCCAGCGUUAUCCGGAGUUAUUGGGUUUAAAGGGUGCGUAGGCGGAAUGCCAAGUCAGCGGUAAAACCGCGGGGCUCAACCUCGCUCCGCCGUGGAAACUGGCGUUCGUGAGUGGGCGAGAAGUAUGCGGAAUGCGUGGUGUAGCGGUGAAAUGCAUAGAUAUCACGCAGAACUCCGAUUGCGAAGGCAGCAUACCGGCGCCCAACUGACGCUGAAGCACGAAAGCGUGGGUAUCGAACAGGAUUAGAUACCCCAGUAGUC